AUCCUGCGCUAGAAUGUGGACCUUGAUUUUUACCCUCCACCAUCUGUGAUCUUCAGAUUCGCCAGUACCUUCCAACAGGGCCUGUGCCCAAGAGAAAGGUGGUGUGUACCAUGCAGGGGGCCGGCUGUCCUGAAAAGCUGAAACCAACAGACAGGACUUGCCUCAAGCUCAUUCAGGAAGAAUUGCUUAAUGGACAAAAAGGACAAGAUAUGGUGACAUGAAGUAAUUCCUGGCAAAGCCCAAGAAGGAACCAAGAGCACAGGCACCUUCUUCGUGGCUUAAUCGGCCACUUAGGGCUCUCCGCCGACAGCACCCAAUCCUAACCUUGGACUUCAACUCCAACCCUGUCUUCCUGAUCAUCAGACCGCCUUCUUGAGCCCCUGACAAGGGAAUCCACAGCUCCCUCUGCCCAUGCAUACCCUCUCACAGUG